rnacentral:lncRNA from 1 species
UUAUUUAUUGUAUUUAUUUAUUUAUUUUUUUUGUUUAUUAAUAAUAAUAUCGUCUUAGUCAUUAUUUUAUAUUGUAUUUAAAAUGUUUACUUUCCCUUUUUUUCGCCACUCAUACAUAUACGAUUAUAUACAAUUUUAUGUACCUAAUAUCAGCAAUUAAAUAUAUGUUUGUAAUUUAAGAUAAACAUGUUGCAUGUACAUAUAUAUAUAUAUAUAUAUAUAUAUAUAUAUAUAUAUAUAUACACGUUUAAACAAGUGUGUUAUGUGUUAAUUGAAUUUGUUCAGUUCUAUACAUGUGUUACAAAGGGAGAGUUUCAGUAGUGCAUUUUUCAUAUGAAAAAAAAAAAAAAAAAAAAAAAAAUUGACACGUAAUAUGUGAUUAAAUAAUGUUGAUUAAUGUUUAACAAAGCAAAAGUAUAACUGAUUAAACGUGUUAACAUGUAAACAUAUGCAUAUCUUGCAUAUGUAUAUCUAUUCAUAUGUAUAUGUUUUAUUUAUUUAUUAAUUUAUUUAUUUAUUUAUUUAAUUUUUUUUUAAUUUAAUUUUAGCAAAAAUAGUAUAAAUCAUUUCCUAAGUAUUUUUUACUCUUAUCAUUAUAAAAUCGAAUAAUAUGAAAAACAUAUUGGAGUAAUACGAAAUUUAUAUGUAUGAAUAUCCUAUGAUUUAUUAGUUUUGUAAUUUCUACUAAUUUAGCUUCAUGGAUUAUUCAGAGUUUGAUGAAGAUGAUGAAGAUUUAUAUGAAGGACUAGAAGCGGACCAAGUGGACACUUUUGAAAAAAAGGAUGUUGAAAAAAAACAAGAUGUUGAAAAAAAACAGGAUGUUGAAAAGAAAAAGGAGGUUGAGCAAACUAUUAAACCAAAAGAAAUAUUUUUUGAAAAAUCCAGAAAAAGUUUAUACAAGAAGUUAAGUUCUUCGAAGAUAACAUAUACCAAAAAAGAGCCGUGUUUGUUUUUGGGAGCACCCCAGGCAACUGAACAGCCCGAAACGGAAGAGAGUAACAACGAAUUUUUAUUGUUGUUAAAUUUGUUAUAUUACAUGAAUGAUUUGUUAAUAAAAAAACAUUGUGAACAAAUUGGGAAAGUUAAAAGAGUAGAAAUAUUAGAAGAUGAAAACACAUGUAAAUCAAUAGGUAUGUGUCUAGUUGAAUUUUAUUUUUUAGAUCACUCACAAAAUUACGUAGGUUAUCUAAAAGAAAAAUUAAGAGUAGAUGUUAAAACAUUAGAUAGUGAUAUAGAAGAACAAAUAAAAGCAGAUAAGUUAUAUAAUUAUGGAGGAUAUUUAAAUUAUAAUAUUAUUGAGUUAAUUAAAAAAAAUAUUUAGAUUAUUCACAUGUCAAUGAAAACACACAAGAACUAUUAAACAAACCUUUGAGUUUAAAUAAACACCCCUUAUUUACAUGGUUUAAUACGAAU